rnacentral:lncRNA from 1 species
UCAAAUUAAGCAUAUUUAGGAAAAAUGGGAAAAUACCGAAAAAUUAAGCACAAUUCCCUGAUUAAUUCUAGCACAAUAAACUAAGUAAAGUCGAGAAAAUAUUGACUCAUCAAAAUAGACCACACUUAGUCUUUUGCACUCCUGGGCAAAAUCAAGACGCAAAUCAGGGAACAGUUAUGAGGANAUCAGGGAAUUGACACAGACUCAACACACAAACAACAGAGACUGACAAGGAAAGAAACAGAAUUACACAAUCCUCAAGAAAUCUGGACAAAGAAAGGAAGUAGACAGUAUCCAACACAAAAUCAAGGAAACUAGAUACUCAGAGAAAUCAUCCAAGCAAUUCAAAGCAUGACAAAACGAUCAAUCANUUNAAGAGGUGAAACAAAAAUGACAGAACCUCACAG